GAUGAACGCUAGCGGCAGGCCUAAUACAUGCAAGUCGAGGGGCAGCGGGUGUAGCAAUACAUGCCGGCGACCGGCGCACGGGUGCGUAACGCGUAUGCAACUUACCUCUAACAGGGGGAAUAGCCCCGAGAAAUCGGGAUUAAUACCUCAUAACAUUUAUCAUUCGCAUGUUGAUAAAUUAAGCUCCGGCGGUUAGAGAUGGGCAUGCGUGACAUUAGCUAGUUGGUGAGGUAACGGCUCACCAAGGCUGCGAUGUCUAGGGUUCUGAGAGGACAUUCCCCCACACUGGUACUGAGACACGGACCAGACUCCUACGGGAGCAGCAGUAAGGAAUAGUGGCAAUGGACGCAAGUCUGACCCAGCCAUGCCCGCGUGCAGGAUGAAGGCCCUA
rnacentral:rRNA from 1 species